rnacentral:lncRNA from 1 species
GCCUUUGUUGUAUCAGCUGCAUUUAUUUUCCUCAGAUAUGGAUAUAUUGAGUCAUGGUGAUCAAGUAUGUAAAGCCUGUUGUUUUGGAUAGCCUAUUGAACAAAAUAUAAUUUAGUCAUUGCAAUUAUUUGAAUAAUAAAUAACCACAAAAUAACAUUGUCAAAGUUAAAUUAUAUGCAUAGUAUUAAUGUUAAACUAUGUCAUUACUUCUUCUACAGUGACCCCAUCCAUGUUUAGCUCUAACUGUUCUUCGGUUAUUGUGCUCGUAUUAUCACCAUAAUCGGUAUUUAGCUUGCUCUUUGGUGGGAACUCCUACAUUAUAUAUAACAAGUAAUACUGAAAUUAAGAUUGAAAAUAUAGUAUGUAAAGUGGACAAAAUAGAGUUUAAUUUUGUGUUUGUAAAGAAAUCGUUAAACUAUUAAGUUUACCUGAAUUCUUUUUAUAAUGUGUGGAUUCACACCAGCAAUCAUCUCCCUUGCAAAUUCUUCAUCAGUCAUCCACGCAGACUGAUUAACUGCUCAAAAUAAGAGCAUUGCAAAUGAUCUGUAAUAUUUUUAUUUAUUCUAUGAAAAUAUAUUGCUAGGACUAACUAAUAGAUACCUUGAAUCACUUUAGGCGGUGGAAACUUUAGGGCCGAUUCACCAUCAGUUCGGAAGAGUUCCUUGAAAAAUGGUAUGGGGCUAAGUUUGCUAAGUAUACUAGUAGGUAAUUUAAUCCCACCAUCAUAAAAUGAUCGCACAUCAUCAAAGCUAUUAAAUUCUGGCUUAUUGAGUUGUAAUGUAAUUGCAGAUUGUAAUUGAGGUAUGAAACUUUGAGAAGCUGAUUUGAGUAUGUAAACAAGAAAAUCUGAAGACUUCAAGUGACCAAAUGCUUCAUCUCUUGGAACGUAAACAAAGUCGUCCCGUCUCUCACUUUUAGGAUCUGUUCACAUACAAAAUUGAAGACACGCAUUAGCAAGUACUAGCAAAAAGAUCGAUAACUUUAAAGUCAUAAUAGAGAAAAUGUUUUGAUCACAGCACCAUUAAUUUAAUAUGGAACUUUAAAAUUAUAACCUUUUUUAGCUGGUUUCCUGCCGGUUCUGCCCCUUCGAGGGUAAGGCAAGGUGUCGGAUCCUCCAAUAACGGGACGAGCCAAGUGUGCGUACUUGUCAGGAUCACCCAAGUCAUUGUAAACAUCGUAGUCAUAGAUUCUAUCGUGUUCCUUGCGCUGACCCGUUCCAUCUCCUCUUAAAGUCUUCAAUUCUUCUUCUCUAUAGUAGACUAAUGGAGCUGGUGUUUCACUUGGAAGGUAUGUCUAUAUUUUUAUUUAUUUGAUGGUGUAAGAUUUCAGGAAAUAUAGUUCAUAUUUAAAGGUCUUGCUAACAAGUGCCCUAAUGUUAAGAUUAAAAUAUUGAAACCAGUUGAUAGCUUUCAUGUAGAAAAAAUUGUUUUUUGAUGUUCCAAUGUGUUAACAUUUCACUAUAUUUAACAUGCACGAUAAAUAUGGUAUAUUCAUUACCUUGUUGGCGAAGAAGAUGCGUUUCGUUUUAUACUUGUCAGCACUGUAAAUCCAUGAGUUGCAUACAAAGUUGAUGGUUCCAUGGUUUGGAAUAUCUUCAAGUGUCAAACUUACAAGGAAGAAUUCUCGUGUCAUGUUACUCUCAAUAUAAAAUGCUCCUGGAACUCCCAUGUCACUAUUCCAUUCAAAAUGAAUAUCAUAUGCAGACUGUCCUGCUCCCAAAAUUGGCAUGGAAGUAACAAAACCUUCAAUAAAUGUUUUCUCUCCGACUUUCCCUUUUCCGCUUCCUACAAAUAUGUUACAAGUUUGAUUUACAAUUUCAGCAAUGAUAAUACUCCCUCCGUCUCACAUCAGGUGUCACAUUUGAGUUUUACACAAUUAUUAAAAAAAUGAUUAAUAAUUUUGAUUUUAAUGAUAAAUAUGUAUCAUUUACUAACAUACUUUUAUUAAUUAUAAUUAGUGGAAUAUUUUUAAAUGAUUCAAAUACAAUAGAUACAGAUAUGUUAAAAGAAAAUAAUAAUAAAUAUUGUAUUAUUAGUGUUAUAAAAGGGACAAAUAAAUUAAGAAAAAAAACAUAUAAUUUAAGACGGAGGGGAAAAAACAUCUAAUUUGAAACGGGGGAGUAACAUUCAAGAUUAAUUUAUGUCAAAGUAACAAAUUACUCUUUUUGUGCCAAAAAAAUAUUAAUUCUUUCCACCUGAAUAAAGUGUUUUAUAUAGGAGUUGAUAGUUGAUUAUAUCUUUCAUGCUAUAAAUAAGUUUUUGGUCCCUUUAAAUAUCUCAAAUUUCAGUUUUUAUAGUUCAAAAUAUUUUCAGCAAAAUUUGGGUUUGCUAAAAAUAACUUAGAAGGAAAAACUUGCCAAAUUGUUUUAGAGAGACUAUAUAUAAAAUUUUAGAUAUUUAUACAGUAUCCCUAAAAAAAAAAAGAAAUUUAUACGGUAGAAUUAUUUUUUUUAACCCAUUUUGUAAUGAUAAAACAAAAGGGAAACUGAAUUGAAUCUUAUGGACUAAGGGUCAAAUAAUAGAGGAAAAAAAAAAUCAAAUUAUUGAUAAGUAUUAAUAAAAAAAUUAAACCUCACAAAGAUUAAUUUAAUGUAUCAAACUAAUAACUGAAGACUAACAUAUCAUAUGAUUUUCUAUGUAAAAUGUUACCAGAUCGAAAAUCAUAUGAUAUGUUAAUGAGGUAAAUCAAGACUAACUUCUGAUGUGUGUGUAUAAACUUCAAUUCAUUUGUAAACUUUAUUAAUGUUUACUCGUUAAAGCGUUAUUGAGCAGCGCAACACUGUCCAAAUACUAUAUGUGUUCAGUGUUGUAAAUUUAUGACGAGCAUUAUGUAGUCUUAGAAUGAGAAAUGAAUAAGUUUAUUACCAUCGGCAGUGGUAGCACUGAUCAACCUGAGAGCCACAGAACGGCCGACAAAGGCCCCGGCGGUGUCAAUUAGAGUGCCGGCGACACCACCAACAGCCUUGAUUCCAGUUUUGACCAAAUUAGUGGUGUUUUUAGUUGCACCAUUGAUGGCAUUGAUGUCGAAAACAUUUGUUUGCAUCAACACAACUGUGCCCUUCACCUUUUGGCCUCUCUUAAGCAUACUUUUGAACCCUGAAUACAUCUUAAUUUGCUGCUUAAAUUUUUUUUUUUGCAAAUUAAUGAGAGAAAAGUUUGUGGCUGGCAAGAUGCAACCAUCUCAUUAUUUAUAGGGCCAAAAUUAAGCUUCUGAUUAAGAACAAAUAAUUUUUUUUUAAUUGAUUAAUUGAUCAUUGACAUCGUGCAAAAACUAUUAGUAAUAGGCUAAUCGUGGAAUAUAAAAUAAUGAUGUAUUUUAUUAUAGAAAGAAGAUAACAAUAUGUGUUACACAAUCAUAUUAUGACAAAUGGAUUUUUGAACUAUAGUUAAUUAGAUUCUAACGCGUACACCAAUAGUAAUAGGCUAAUCGUGCAAAAAUUAUUUCCUGAUACGAGGUCGUCUUUCUUUCCAUUGUUAAUAAUAUCCCUUCUCACAACUCACAUUCACAUACCGUAACCAUGGUUCAAUUUAAUAAUAUUAAUAAUAAGAGGAUGUACAAGAGUUAAUUAAACUAUGCAAGUGCAACUCCUAUAUGAUUUUAAGAUGAACAUAACUCAACUCUUACAAAUAUGAUUUGUAAGGUGAGGGGUUUCCCACUUAUAAUAAACUCAUUUUAUCUUCAUUUAAUAUAGAACUUUUACACUGCUCAUAUAUGUUUAAGAAUGGACGACAGGAGUGUGACUCGAGUUGUAUGAAAAUAGAUGAUCAAAUAGAUUUUAUUACGACUAUAAUACAUAAUGAAGGUUGUCCCCGUGAGCAUACUCAGUUGAUAGGGACAUACAUAAUUAUAUGCAGGGGUUGGGGUUUGAACCCAGACACCCCACUCAUUCACCUUGAAAAAGGUGAAUUCUAGCCACUAGAUUAAAAAAAAAAAAAUUAAGAAUUCAUUUUCAGGUAUAGUUUUAUCAUCAAGUGUGAAACUAUUAAUAUAUGCAAUGUUAAAAUAUAAAAUAAAUUUGUUUUUAUUUUUUAUCGCAAGAUUUAUCAUUAAACUUUAUUUAGUUGUUUUGACUCAUUCCUUUUUCUAUAUUUUAGCUGUUUUAGUUGAAUGUAGUUCCGUUAGAACUAAAAUUUAAGUUUUUUUUUUUUUUUUUUUUUGGAAAGUUCCAUGAAAAAGAAAUUAGUUUUUUUUUUUUCUUUUUUUCUAGUACUGCAAACUUUAAAAAUAUAAUUUUUCUGAAUGCUUUUGUAUGAAUGAAUUUUGAGGAGUGUUAGAAACACUCUCUUUUUAACACCUACAUUGAUAUUUAAUUUACUCUUUUAUUGAAUGAAUUCAUUGAUAUUUACUAUUUUAUUGAAUAAAUUAAAUGUGUAUUAUACAUUUUAAAAUGAGUUUCACAUAAAAUGGUGGAUUCCAUAGAUUUCGUCAAAUAAAAUAGUGGAUGUUAGAAAGAAUGUUCAACUCUAUGGUCUAUUCACUAAUAUUUUCACACCCCACAAAAUAUUUCUAAUACAAAAUAUUUUGUCAAGAUUGAAUAAACUUUCAAAAAAACUUGAGCUAAAUUUUCCAGAAGAAAAAACUGUUGAUUGGAAUACACGGGGAAUUUUUUUUUGGAAUUUUAGUCACGCUUCAAAUGUGGUUAAACUGCCGAAUUUGUAAAACGUAAUACUUGGAAAAAGAUUUCCAAAAUUUUAUCCAUAGUUGCUAAAAAUCCUGAGGAAAAUUCAAUGAAUCUGCCGUUUAGUAUCAUUUCAAGAAACUUUUAAUCAAUUGUAAAAAACUUUUACUUACCAGAAAUAUUUUGUCCGAGUUAAAGUCAAAUGACAAAAAGAUAAAAUUAACAAUAGAAUUUUUUAUAGUUUGUAGGGAGGAGAUGUAUGAAUGCAGGGGUAAAGAUUAAAGUGAAUUUUUAUUUAAACUAUAGAGCAAAAGCAAAAGCCCGCGACAUGUGCAAUGAGGCUAAGGCUUUGUAGAGCAAGAGUGAUUUUUUAUUUUUUCACAAGAGUUGUUAGGGCAAUGAGGACUACCCUACUCUUCCUACCCCACAAAGUAUAUAACAUGUCUAAUUUAUUUCCAACGACUUUAAAUUAUUGAGGAAUAGGAGUUUAGUCCUUUCAUCAUUUCAGUUUUUGGGAUCGAAAAAUUGAAAAAGUCAAAAUUUGAAUUUUUUUUUUAAUGUACUAGUUUUUCUAGUCCAUACGAAGAGAUACAUAUCAUGUGAAAUUCACACAUAAGACUGUAAGAUUAUAAGUUUGAAGCGGACAAAGAUGUUCAAACUAAAAAUAUUGAUAUUAGUCAUUGAAAUAGACCAUGCAGACAAGAAAAUAUUAGUUUUUGAAAGAAAGAAAAAACAAUGUUACGAGGAACUCAAAUUUUGAGUUUUUGAUAAAUUAAAAAAUUUGAAAAAAUGGGAGUAUUUGUUAACAUUUCCCUAUAAAUGAAAACGAUAAAACCAAACAUUUUAAAAGAAUAUAGUAGUAUGAUUUUGAGGGGUAGGUAGAAUAAUUCUUCUGGAGCGAUAAUGCUAUGAGAAGAGCAACCAAUUGCAUAUACUUGGAUAUGGUUUGGAAGGAGCACAUUUUCCAACUCAUUAAUUAUUUUAGAGAGUGACUAAUUUUUUUUUUUGUUAGACAUGGUUACACGUAAGUACAAGUUUAGUUAGGGGUGCCCUACUUUCGUGUGGUGAAUUCGAUGAUUUUUGACUUUGGAUCGCGUGUUCAAUUUCAUCAUUCUUGGAGAGAAUGAGACUUUUUAUCUUGCACAACUCUCGAGUCUCCUUCUAAUUAACUUUAUAAACUUAUUUUUGAUCAUAUCUUUGGGGCUUGCAUACUUAGAAGUGUUUGUUUUGAUUUGUAGUUUUUCUUUGGGCUUCGACCAUCUUUUGUACCAAAACAAGAGAUUACUUUUUGCGUCCAAUGAGUUUCUCACGCACCAUAUUUUUUUUUUAAUACCCUUUAGAUUCUAUAAUUCAAACAGCACUUCAGCUUAUAUAAUCUGAAAACUUGUAUUUCCAAUAUUUACUUAACAUCGCUGAUUUACAAAACAUCAUUGACAUAUACUAUUAAGAAAACAUAAUUGAAAAUGACCAAAAAUUGAAACAAAAAUGUAGAGACAUAAAAACGAAUUCAAAUUCUCAUUAUAUUAAUAGAUCAUAUCUUGAAAGUACAUUUACAUUAACAUCAAAGCAUAUUACGCAAAAUUAUUAAACAUCUAAUAUUAAACAUAUGGUGCAAGAAGAUCAUGUAGGGGUAAAAAGAAUAUGAUGGAGGGGGAAGGAGGUUGGAGUAAGGUUUUUUUUUUUUUUUUUUAGGAUGAAGGAUACUUUGAUGGUCAACCUUACACCUAAACAUAUCAAAUUUACAUCCAAACAUAUGGUACAAAUUUGCAUAGUGGCACCAUCUUCGUUGAUCGCUCAUACGAUCGCUAAAAUAAAAGAGUAACCUUUUUGUAUAAAAGGUCAACGAUGGAAGCAUAUUAAUUGUGGAAGAAAACAGAAGGAGAAAAUGUGAAGAAUGAGAAUUUGUGAAGGAUUGGUGGGUAUUUACAGGAGGAACUUGUGAAGGAUGAUGCAUAGAGUGUAUAAGACCAUUGAUUACGGUCAAAAAACGUGGUAAACCUGGUUCGACCGGUCAAUGAAACUGAUAUGACCAAAGAAAAACUUGUUCAAUGAGUUAGUCUUGCUGAGCUGAUUCGAACUCUGAACUAGUUCAUAUUAGGUAAUUUGAACUCAUCCCAGGAAUGUUAUUAUAUAAUCCGAACUAAUUUAAGAUUGUGUUAAAAUUCAUACCUUAUAGGGUGAGGGAGAGUUUAAAUUAUAAAUUAUAUAAUUCAAACCAGUUCAAUACAUGUUCUUUUUGUGAUCUACAUUGCACCAACAGUUUCCUUUUAUGUUUUUUUUCUUUUUCUGUGUUCUGGUGUUGUGCCUUAUUGGCCUUUUUUUCCAAAACUGUGACACCAAUUUUUUAGGGCGAGAAUAGAAUUUGAUUGAUUCUCUUCAUUAAAUUCAAUGGAUUUCAUAAAUUUCUAAUUUUAAGGUCACACGGCUAAUACAUAUAUAACACAAAGUGUCGUCAGAGUCUUUUGGCAUUGGUGUCAUACUAAUCUUGUUUGAAUUCUCUACUCCGAUUAUUUUCUAUUACUUUGAGAAUUCAUGAAGUCAUUCAUAGACCUAUUUAACACAUAAUUGAUGCCUGUGUUUUAUAUUUACACUUUAUUAAAACUGUUGUAAAAGAAAAAAAAAACAGACAUAAUCAUAUUUUCGUUUUAUAGUUACGGUUUGCAAGCAUGAAUUCUCACCUCCGUUGAUCUCUUUAAAUUAAUUCGAAGCUUCAAUUCAAAGUGGGUAGAAGAAAUUGUAAACAGAGCAAGAGGUUUAGCUUGGAAUUCAGAAAAAAGUCUUGAAGCUUCACCCUUUCAUCAAUUCUUGAUUUUUUCUUCAAUUUGAUUAAGGGGGAUUACCACUAAAUGACUGUUUUAUCUUUAUCUAUUUUAUGAGCAUGUUGUUGCUUUAUGAAAUUUUUAGAGAUUCUUAGUUUAUGCAAUCUAUUUUAUGUGUUUCUGUCAAUCGCACUUUUGCUGCUGCGUAUUUAUCUGGUUUUGUGUUUGUGUCAGUUUCUGCAUAAUAUCUGCAUUCGUUUAGGUUUCCUUGUAGUUUCUUGUUUAAUGCAAUUACUACAUAAUUGCAUUUCUAUUUUUCAUGUUUCAUUAGUUAAUGUUAUUGCUCUUUUUAGAUUUUAUUUCUGCAUAAUACAUUCUUUAAUGAUUUCUACUUGGCUACUGGUUAGAACUAACAAUUAAAAAUAAAAGAUCUUAAAUAAGGGCAGGUCUUUAAAAAAUACCAUUAUAAUUUUCAACGUAACAUGCUUCUCUAUUUUACAUCUCUUUGUUAUAUAUAUUCAAAUUGGUGAGGUAUUUGAGAUUCUAGAGGGUGAUAAAUGCCUUCCUGAAGAACAAUUGCAAAGCUUAUAAAUGCCUUCCUGAAGAACAAUUACAUCUCCAAAUGUGGUCUUCCUGGAAACUCAGGUGGCAGACAAAUUAAAUCUUGUUCUGGUUUUGCUUGCAUGCAAUGUAAAUUUGAAUCCCUCUAAUAUCUCUUUUGUUUAGAACCUUCUCCUUAUGUCUAUGGUUUUUUUUUUUUUUUAAAUUUAUAAAGAUGAGCAUAUUUCUUAUUCAAAUUUACUAAUUUAGAGAAGGGUUCAUUGGAUUUGAAACUUGUUAUCAUACUUAUGCAUAUGUCAUCUUCAUUUAUUUGUGUGGAUUUACAGGGUUGUAUAUGGAUUUGUUAUGUUUGCAACUUAUUUUCUUUUAUUUUCAAUAGGCUACAUAUGCUUCUUGUACAGUUUCUUUGGAAACAAAUAGGUGAUGGAAAGAAAUGGGAGCUGCAGAGAAGAACCGAUCGAUGGCGGAAUUUUCAUGGAAAUAUAUGUGCUCUACCUAAUGGUCAGUGUAACAACUUGAAGGCACCAUGAUUUCUAGUCAUAGUUUAAAAUUGUUUGAUGUAAAAGGUCGAAACUAAAGCAUUAAGGUAAAAUAUAAUUCACUUUAACUGUUAUUACUUUUUGGGUAUUAACAGCAUUGCAACUGUUAUAUAAUCUUAGGAAAUCAAUAUUGUACAUUACUUUUUCAGCACUAUCAUCUUUUUAUCAUGCCAUAUCGCACUACUAGGUUUGCACAAACCUUGGGGUCAUUAAUUCAUUUUUUCCAAACUUAAACUAAUGCAUUUCAUUAUCAUAUCACAUGUAUUACACAUACAAGAGGUAAACACAUCUUAAGAACUUCUUAUUGAUGUAUAGUAAAACAUAAAAGCAAGCAAACAAACAAACAUACAUAAUAACAAGACCAUGACGAUGAGGGAAUUUGACAACUUCACACAUUUUAUUCAGAGCAAAGCAACAUACCAUCAAAUUCUUUAGAUGGAGAUACUAUUAGGAAUGCCUCUGCAAGUCAAUCCUUUCUCACUAGAAGGAUAAAGCAGAGUGUAUGGCAUAUUCACAGGCCCGUAUCGGUUUCUCAAUGACUCAUCAUUGUUCCUUUCAAUGAGCUUUACCUCAAUUUCAGCCAACUUCCUUCCAAACCUCUUGAAAGCUUCUAAUGGCUGUGAAUCUGAAGUCCAAACCUCGCCUUCAUUUCUCUGUCCAAGGUAUUGCUCAUCAGAAGCAUGCCUUGAUAAGACCUCUAAGAUCGUAAGGUCAGUGAGGGUAUCAUUUUUUGGUGUGAUUGUCCUUAGAUACACCUUUUGAAAGUUCUUAGAAAGCUCGGCAUACUCAGCAGACCCUUUCUCAGGCAUGUGUCUCCGGCUUUUAGUUGGUCGGUUAAGUAUAUAUCCUCCAUAUGGAUAUUGACCAAAAUUAACAGCUGCAUGAUGUGCUGAAGCAAUCCAUAUGAGGAUAGUGCAAGCUUCAAUCAACUCUGUACAAGUUUGCAUCUUAAACCACCAUGUAGCAUUCUUCAAAUCACCAUGACCCACCUCUACAACUUCUCUCCAAAAUGCUUGCAGUUCAGAAUCUUGCGCAACAGCAGCAUCUGACGUGUAGUAGAAACUCACAUAUUCUUCAACCCAUGACUUGAUAGCAUCCCAUAUCUCUAGUCCAUCAGCAGCAUAAGGGUAGUCCUCUAUCAGAAGGCGAAUUCCAUGUGGGGAAGUUGGAUCCUCAACAGCCACUCCUCUAGAUAACAAGCAAGGAAGAUAUCAUUAAUAUAAAAAAUUAAAAAGCUUGAGAUCAGUAUCUAUUUAACCAAGAUUUUAAAUUGGUUGUAGUAUGAUCUUAGUUAUUCUAGCGAAACGCGGUAAAAUACAGUUGAUGUGGCCUCAACCAACGGUGUUUGGACAUAAAAAAACCUUGAUUUCUCGUCUUACAUUGUGGUUACUAACAUUUUUUCCAAUCCUUUUUUUUUACUAAUUAAUUUAUGUGCAGGAUCUAAUAUUUUGUAAGGUUACCUUUUCAGUAAAUCAUUAGGAAGACCGUGCUCUAUGAAAACCCAAUCCUUAUAUAAUAGAGCAGACAAUUCUAAAGAAUAACGUCCCAUCAAGAAUGUCGAUUCUAUAAUACCCUCUGCAUUAACCAAGACAUUCCUUGCAAGUGCAUUAAUGUUCAUUGUGUCACGAUAAUGUGGAAGUAGAAGUUUGUGAAUAGGGUGAACCACACUAAGAUGCCUAUUUGUUGCUAUGAUGAAUGGCUCAACAACAGCAUGAGUGUUCAACCUGUUACACAUGUAGAUAUUAAUGAAUUACUCAUAGAUUGAUGAAAUUAAAUACGUUUGAUUCUAGAAAAACUCAUCAACAUAAUUCGUACCAGUGGCUGACAAGUUGAUGAAAACAGGAGUCAUUUACAACAACGUAAGCUUUGGCAAGUAGCCAAAUAGAAGCUUCAACACCUUCACUUGCAGGCAAGUAAACAUUACUAACAGGACCAUAACUAUCUUCUUGAGGAUGUGGCUUACUUAGCUCAAUGGCCAAUGGCUUCAAAGUUCCAUCAUUUUGUAAGAAAAUGAAGGUUCUCGUAGCAUAUGCCUUUGUAUCAGUUGAGUUUAUUUUCCUCAAAUAUGGAAAUAUUGGGUCAUGGUGAUCAAGUAUGUAAAGCCUGUUGUUUUGGAUAGCCUAUUCAAAAAAAUAUAAUUUAGUCAUUGUAAUUAUUUGAAUCAUAAAUAACCACAAAAUAACAUUGGCAAAGAUGUAUAUUCAUGGUAUUAAUGUUAAACUAUGUCAUUACUUCUUCUACAGUGACCCCAUCCAUGUUUAGCUGUAACUGUUCUUCGGUUAUUGUGCUCGUAUUAUCACCGUAGAGUUGGGUAUCUAGCUUGCUCUUUGGUGGGAACUCCUACAAUAAAUAUAGAAAGUAAUAAUGAAGUUAACAAUUAAAAAUAGGAAAAUGUUAUUUCUAGCGAAGGAAAUAUGGCUGCUCCUAAUUCUUGAAGAUUUCGUGAUGCUAUCUUUCGGGAAAUAUGGUCAAAAUAAAAAUUAAAUUUUCUGUUCGCAAAGAAAUCGUUAAACUAUCAAGUUUACCUGAAGUCUUUUGAUUAUGUGUGGAUUCACACCAGCAAUCAUCUCCCUUGCAAAUUCUCCAUCAGUCAUCCAUGCAGACUGAUUAACUGCUCAAAAUAAGAGCAUUUCAAAUGAUCCGUGAUAUUUUUAUUUAUUCUAUGAAAAUAUAUUGCUAGGACUGAACAUGUGUUUCUAAUAGAUACCUUCAACCACUUUAGGUCGUGGAAACUUUAGGGCCGAUUCACCAUCAGUUCUGAGGAGUUCCUGGAACACUGGUAUGGGGCUAAUUUUGCUAAGUGCAUUAGUAGGUAAUUCAAUUCCACCAUGAUAUAAUGAACGGACAUCUUCAAAAGUGUUAAACUCUGGCUGAUUGAAUUGUAAUGUAAGUGCAGAUCGUAAUUGAGGUAUAACAUUUUGAGAUGCUGAUUUCAGUAUAUAAACAAGAAAGUCUGAAGACUUCAAGUGGCCAAAUGAUUCAUCUCUUGGAAUGUAAACAAAGUCGCUCCGACUCUCACUUUUAUCAUCUGUAACAUACAAAUAGAAGACAUUAGCAACAAGAUCAAUAUCUUUAAAAUCAUAUAGAGGAAAUGUUUUGAUCAUAGGACCUUUAACUUAAGAUAGAGCAUAAAGUUUAUCACCUUUUUUAGCAUGUUUCCUGCCGGUUCUCCCCCUUCGAGGGUAAGGCAAGUUAUUGGAUCCUCCAACAACGGGACGAGCCAAGCUUUCUUUCUUGUCAGGAUCACCCAAGUCAUUGUAAACAUCGUAGUCAUAGAUCCUAUCCGAUUCUUUGCGCUCACCCGUUCCAUCUCCUCUUAAAGUCUUCAAUUCUUCUUGUCUGUAGUAGACUAAUGGAGCUGGUGUUUCGCUUGGAAGGUACGUCUAUAUUUAUAUUUAUUUAUCGGUGUCAAAUUUUGAGAAAUAUAAUUUGUAUUAGCAUGUUAAAGAAAUAUGAUUUUUUUUCAUUACCUUGUUCGUAAAGAAGAUGCGUUUCGUUUUAUACUUUUUAGCAUUGUAAAUCCAUGAGUUGCAAACAAAGUUGAUGGUUCCAUGGAUGGGAAUAUCUUCAAGCGUCAAACUUACAAGGAAGAAUUCUCCUAGCAUGAAAUUUUCAAUAUAAAAUGCUCCUGGAAUUCCCAUCUCACUGUCCCAUUCAAAAUGAACAUCAAAUGCAGAUUGCCCUGCUCCCAAAAUUGGUAUGGAGGUAACAAGACCUUCUAAAUAUGUUUUUUUUCCCACUUUACCUUUUCCACUUCCUACAAAUAUGUCAUAAUGCUUAAUUUAUGUCAAUAUAAACAACUUAAUCUUUUCUUAUGCUAAGUGCUAAAUUUAUGUUCACCCAAGUUGCUUAGAUUAUAUCAAAGUGAAAUAAUUCCUAAUUUCCUACAUAUAUUUUAGUAAUAGUUGAUUUAUUAUUUAAAAUAAGUUACGUCAAAGUGAUAAUCACAAAAAUAAAAAUAAAAAUUUAUAAUAAAACAAAAGGGAAAAUAAAUUGAAUCUUAAUGGACUCAGGAUCAAAUUCUUGUAAAAAUUAAAAUAUAAAGACAAUUUUCAUUUGGAUCCUUUGUAAAGCCAUUCAUUUAAAAACGAUAAACUUUGAAACUUAUAUCACCUGCAGAUUUAAAAAAUGGUGAGGCCUAGGUUGCCUUUGAAAACUCAUGGGCAAUUUACCUAAACCAAUCAAAAGUUUUCAUGUGUACUCCAUUAGAAUAAUAACAUUUAUUAUUUUAUUUUGCAAAAAUUUAGCAAGUAUUUUAUUAUUUGCAUAUUCACCCCAUCUUAAAUUAAUGAUUUUUUACAAUUUAAACCAUCACAAUAAUUAAAUUUCACCUCUAAUUCAAUCACUCUCCAAACCUCUUUUUUAGCUUGGCAAAAAUCAUUAAAAAUUAAAAUUAUCACCCCUGAGAAUCAAACCUGGAUGCUCCCACCUAUUUAAAAUGUACUCUGGAACCACUUGAUCAAUACAUUUUUUAUGAAAUAAUUUGGAAUUCAAAAUUAUGUUAUUAGUGAGCAAAUUAUUUUAUUUUUAUUUGCAGUGCCUUUAUAACCUAGCUUUAGUGAGAAAAAAAAAUCAUUUUAUGUGUGUAUAAUUAUGAAGUAGUAAAUUUUUCUUAAGAAAAAUGAAUUCAUUCAAUUGAUUUUUUAUAUUUUAAAUUUCAUUCUUUUUUAUAAAUUCAUACUUUUAUAUAGAUUCGAUGACCUACGACAAUGUUUCAUUUGUGAUCCACCGAAUUAUGAUUUAUUUUAGGUACUAUUUUUCAUUUGGAUCAGAUAAAUUGUUUAAAGGUAAUAAUUUUUUUUUUUGCAAGGUCUUAUAAGUUAUAACCUAGCUUUAGUAAAAAAAAUCAUUUUAUAUGUGUAUAUUUAUGAAAUAGUAAAUCUUUCUUAAAAAAAAUAAUUCAUUCAAUUGAUUUUUUAUAUUUUAAAUAUCAUUCUUUUAUAUAAAUUUAUAAUUUUAUAUAGAUUCGAUGAACUACAACAUUGUUUCAUUUGUGAUCAAACGAAUUAUGAUUUAUUUUAGGUACUAUCUUUCAUUUUGAUCAGAUAAAUUGUUCAAAGGUAUUAUUAUUAUUAUUUUUUUUGCAGUGUCUUAUAAGUUAUAACCCAGCUUUAGUAUAAAAAAAAUAAAUCAUUUUAUAUGUGUAUAUUUAUGAAAUAGUAAAUAUUUCUUAAAAAAAAAAAAAUGAAUUCAUUCAAUUGAUUUUUUUUAUAUUUUAAAUAUCAUCCUUUUAUAUAAAUUCAUACUUUUAUAUAGAUUCGAUGACUGAUGGGAUAAAACCGCAAGUGCACGAUUCUACCAGAAUUCAGGGCAUUACAAACGCAACAUGUGGCAUAAAAACAUUACUUUAUAUGUAUAUACUAUUGAUUUUCCUGUUCAUUUAAAAUAUUUUAUUUGCUUAAUUGCACUUUUGGACCCCUAUCUUUUCAAAAGUUGCGGUUAUGGAUCCCUAACUAAUUUAAAUACAAAACAGUCCCCUAUGUUUUGAUUCUUUAGCAGUUUUGGACCCCCAAGGCAAAAAAAAAAAAAUUUGACAAGUGGCACCUCACUUAGGGUGCCACGUCAGCGUUGACCGAGUCAACAAUGAAUUGGGGUCCAAAAUUGGCAAAAAAUCAGAACAUAGGGGGCUGUUUUGUAUUUAAAUUAGUUAGGGGUCCAUAAUCGCAACUUUUGAAAAGAUAGGGGUCCAAAAGUGCAAUUAAGCCUAUUUUAUUUACUAUUUUAUCCUUUAAUAAUAUUAUAUUAAAUUUGAAUUAGAAAAAUGAAAUCUCAUUAAAAUAGGAAAUAUACCACUACAACAGGAACAAUACUAUAUAUACUUUUUUUUUUUUUUUUUACAAAAUACUAUAUAUACUAUAUAUGAAGGGAAUAGAGACUUUGGGCUGAAUUUUUUAUAAUUUCAAUUAUACCCUUUAAACAAAUUUUCCUAUAUUAAUGUUCCAUUCUUGGUGGUAUUAAAAAAAGAUAAGAAUUUAUAUUAUAUUUGUUAAACUACUGUGUUGUUGUGGUAAAAGAUAAACAUGAUUUUUUUGGGUUUGUUACAAUUUUAAUUUCACAAAUAUUUGUACUUAUAAUUUUAAUCAAAAUCAAAAUUUCAUAUAAAAUACCGUUCAUAAUUUACACAUGUCACGUGCCCGUUUUUUCGCUAGUUAUAUAUAGUAUUUAUACUAUAUAUAAAGAAAACUAUCUCUUUCAGCACUUUUGGACAGGAUUUUUCUUUCCAAAAAUACCCUUAAUUUUUAAUACAAACAACACAUGUAACAAAUAAAUAAGAAUAAAUUUAAAUAUUAAAACAAAUGUAACAAACACGAUAUGUGUGUUUGGUUUUUUUCCUUUAUCAUUUAAAAAGUGUAACAAACUAUAUGAGUAUAUUUAAUAUUUGCUUUUUUUAUUAUCCCAAUUAUACCAUUAAAACAAAAUCCAUAAUCAUCAAUCAACAACAAGAAGAUCCAACAUUUUAAAAAAUAAAUAGAUAAAUUUAAAGGAAUUUUUUUAAGAUUCUUAUGUUGUUACAUAAUAUUUGGACAAGAUUCUAAUUCUCAUUAAUCUUUUCUCCCACGUCAAGAAUAUCUCUUUGCUUCUUCUGAUUCAUAUUCAUUCAUUCCUUAUUAUUCUAAUUUUUAACUCAAUUCAUCUUCCUAUAGAUUUGCAUCGUUUUUGCUGAACCAAGAAGGACUGUUAAGUAGAAGAAUUCCAGAAUCAUAGAUGUAAUCACAAUAGUUCUCAAUGACAAUGCUUAAAAAAAAUUGAUUUUUUUCCCAAUCUAUCUCUCUCAAUCCCGAUCUACUCUCUAUCCCCUUAAACCCUUUUUUCCUAAACUAUUCCUUACCUCUCAUGCUCUCUCUUCUCCAUCGGAUACCAUUUCCCCUUCUAUCAUCUUCAUUGCAUUCUCCUCUUUCUCUUUCAUUUUUGACUUCUCAAUAAAAAAUCAAUCGCAGCUUCAAUUUUUUAUUGUCGAAUUCGAAUUCGAAUUUGGGGUGCGUGGGUUCGAUUGAGAGAGAUAGGGAUCGAGAUGAUGGAUAUAUAGACAACGGUGUUGAUGGUGGUUUUGAAAAAGAGGUUUUGAUGGUGGUUAUCUGGAUUUUCUCUGGAUUUUUUUUUAUGAAGGUGAUGAAUGAGGGAAAGAAAGAAGAUGAAGUAUGGGAUAUAAUGCUAGAUGUUGUUGGUUCACAGUAAGAUACAGUGGACAUGCAUGAUCUAACAAUCUUUCUUUAUUAAAAAAGAUCAAACGGUUUAUAUUAAAAAAAAUAAUAGGAUCUAUAGUGGACCAGGGGGUUCACCAUAGAUAUUUGAGGUUAAAGUUAAUUUAUUUGCAAACUGUGGGAAAAGUGAAGGACUAAAACGUGAGUUUUAUUAAUUGUGAGACCAAAAUAAAACCAAAGAAUUAAAUAAGCCUUUUUUUUUACUAAAGCUAAGUUAUAACUUAUAAGACAUUGCAAAAAAAAAAAAUUAAUACCUUUAAACAAUUUAUCUGAUCCAAAUGAAAAAUAUUAUCUAAAAUAAAUCAUAAUUUGGUUGAUCACAAAUGAAACAUUGUUGUAGUUCAUCGAAUCUAUAUAAAAGUAUGAAUUUAUAUAAAAGAAAGAUAUUUACAAUAUAAAAAAUCAAUUGAAUGAAUUUAUUAUUAUUUUUUAAGAAAGAUUUACUAUUUCAUAAAUAUACACACAUAAAAUGAUUAUUAUUAUUUUUACUAAAGUUAAAUUAUAAGUCACUGCAAAAAAAAAAAUAAAAAAAAUUGCUCACUAAUAACAUAUUUUUGCAUUCCAAUUUAAUUCAUAAAAAAUGUAUUGGUCAAGUGGUUUGGGAAAACAUUUCAAAUAAGUGGGUGCAUUUAAGUUCGAUUCCCACGAGUGAUAAUUUUAAUUUUUAAUGAUUUUUGCCAAAUUGUUCAACUAAAUUUGAAUGAAUGCAUGAUCUUUGGCAUUAAAUUCCAAAUUUGAUAAAAAAAAAAGAGAGUGAUUGGAUUAGAGGAGAAAUUUAAUUAUUGUGAUGGUUUAAAUUGUAAAAAAUCAUUAAUUUAAGAUGGGGUGAAUAUGCAAAUAAUAAAAUACAUGCUAAAUUUGUGCAAAAUAAAAUAAUAAAUAUUAUUAUUCUAAUGGAGUACAAAUGGAAAAUUUUGAUUGGUUUGGGUAAAUUGUCCAUGAGUUUUUAAAGGUAAUUUAGAAAAAACCUUAAAAAAUUGGUCUGUUACUUGUUUAGCGUACAAUUUAGCGACCGAUUUCAAAGUUUGGUAAAAUGCAAAGUUCACUAAAAUUGUGAAAAUGCUACCACGUUUUUUUCCCCCUCAUCUCAAUUAUCUACUGAUGUGAAAUGUUAUAUGUUAUUAGGAAUUCUCUCAGGUACUUAUGGGUCUGUUUGGUUAACCCCAAAAAAGAGCUUUUAGCUUCUAGCUUAUAGCUUAUAAGCUCGUUUGAUAAAAAAAACUCUGUUUGGUAACACUUUUUUACCAUGAGCUUAUAGCUUAUUUCACGAGCUUAUAAGCUAUUUUUCAGAAGCUAUUCCAAGUAGCGUUUGAGCUUAUAGCUUAUAGCUUCUCACUUUUUCUUCCAAUUUUACCCUUAUUAUUUCAUUUAAAUUGUAUUUUUAUCCAUUAUAAUUUUUAUAAUAAGCUACGUAAUAAAGACUACUAUCCCUUUAUUCCAAUUUUUGUAUAUAUAUCAGCUGGCCUUUUUUUUUUUUUUUGAAAAAAUAUAUACCUUCGUUUUUUUUUUACGAAACAAAAUAUUAUUAUUCUAUUAGUGUUACUUUUUUUUUUUUUUUGAGAUAAGUGUUAUUUUCUUUAUUCUCUGUUAUUAUUAUUACUCUAUUAGUGCUACUUUUUUUUUUUGUUUUUGAGGUAAAUGUUAUUUUUUUUAUAAAGUGGAAACACUUAAAUGAUAAUAAAUAUAAGAUAAAAUUUUAGUGAAUAAAAUUUAAUUUAAUUUAUAAUACAUAGGAUAUAUUAAAUUAAUAAAUUUAAAGUAUUUUUUUAAAGAAAAAUUAGUUUACAAAAUUACAAAUACUUAAAUUAAUGAUAUAAUUUUUAUUAUGAAUUAAGAAUACCCUUUAUGUCAUUUUACAUUUAUCAGCUAGUUGAACCGCUAUUUUUACCAAACACUUCAGUUAGCUUAUCAGCUAUAAGCUAUCAGCUAGCUUAUCAGCUAAAAGCUAUCAGCUAACUUAUCAAUUAUCCGCUAUUUUUACUAAACAGAGCCUAUGUCCACCGAUGUGAAAGGCAAACCAAAGUUUACUAAAAUUUCAAAAUUGUCACUGUGUGCAUCUUUCCCAUUAGGUAUUUUCUGUGCCGAUGUGAAAACCCCUGUUGUAAGAUGUAUAUUUUCUAGUAGUGGUUAUGCCAGCUUGUAGCCUUAGAUCUCUCCAAGGAAGAAAAAAGCUACUAAAAAAACUUGAAUUAGUAAGAAGAACUUUAGAGGAAAAAAAUCUCCCUAAAUUUAGUGACCAAAGUAUAGGGAAAAAAAAUAUUUUUCCAUCACUAAUUUUCGUCCCAAUUUUAUUUGUUUUAUUUUUAUAGUGAAAAUUCUACCUCAUAUAUUAACAAAAGAAUAAAGUUUAAAGGAUCAUCAAAUCAUCAGCACAUUAUAUCUUCACCUAAAAUCAUAAGACACUUACUAUAUGAAUCACUUUUUAUAUGGCAUUUGUUAAGAUAGACUCAUUUAAUUUUUAGAAGUACUACUUUAACAAGUUAAAACUAAAAUAAUAUAUAAAACAAGGGUUUAAGUUAGCAACUUUUGCAGGCAUUUGUUAGAAUAUAUUCACUCAUUUUUUUAAGGGACAUCCACUCAUUUUUUUUUUAGAAGGACUAUAUGUUAGAAGUGAUAAUGAAAAAUUUGUUAAUUAUACACACAGUAAGGUGCAUGUUGCUAAAAUACUCCAAAAAGCUUCCCCCAAACACAUAUUUCAAGGUGCAAAGUUCAAAUUCUUUUAGGAGAGUUGUAAAAUGAUCAUUAGUGUCGAGUAGUAGUAUGAAAGAUUAAGAAGUAAUUACCAUCAACAUUGGUAGCACUAAUCAACCUGAGAGCCACUGAACGGCCAAAGGAGGAAGUGUAGGUAUCAAUUAUAGAGCUAGUGAUAUCACCAACAACAUUGAAUCCACCUUUGAUUAAACCAGUGGCACUUUGAGCUGCAGUGAUUUCGUUGAUAUCCAAUACAUUCUUAUGCAUCAAUAUCACUGUCCCCUUCACCUUUUGGCCUCUGUUAAAGAUACUUUUCACCCCUGAAUACAUCUUAGUAAUUUACUGCUUUUAAUUUUGUAUUCUUUUGCAAAUUAAUGAAAGAAAAGUUUGUGGUUUGCAUGUUGCAACCAUCUCAUUAUUUAUAGGGCCAAAUUAAUGUUCUGAUUCAAAACUAUAUUAUUUUUUUAGAGACUGAUUCAAAUCAUAUGAGUCAAUGUUCUUUCCAUAUUUUAUCCUCAUCCAAAAUAAUUGAUCUACUUGUAAAAAAAAAACAUUUACCAAAAUAAUUUAUCUUUUUCAAUUUGCAUGCAACAUUAACGACUUCUUUUCUACUGUACAAUGGAAUUAAUAUCAUCAAUUUCAACUCAAUAUCUUCAAUUUUUUAUAUAUAUGGUAAAAGUUAAUACAUGAUAAAAGUACUUCAUUAAAAGCAAUCUUCUCUUUACUUUUAACAUAGGUGCAGUUUUUUUUUUUGAAUGAACAUAGGUGCAGUGUUAAAAAAAAAUGGAGUAUUCCUUAAACGAAUUAGUUGUCUUUUUUUAUGUGACUAAAAUGAAGUCGUCUUUGUUUAAACAUACUCUUCUCACAGAAGAUAACCAUGGUUCAGUGCAAUAAUAAUAAUAAUAAUAAUAAUAUUAGCAAGAGGACGUUGAGGACUAUAAUUUGAGAGGUAGGUAGGCGAAUUUACCGGGGCAAUAAUGCAAUGAGAAGAGCACCCAAUUGCAGUGCUUGGCCCCAAAGAUGUUCAAAACUAGACUAUUAGUGUGUGAAGAGAAAAACAAAAGAAGAAAAACAUGAUUUCUCAGUAUGUCCAGUUAUAUUCAAAUUUGUUAUAAUACAAUGUCAAUUGUUGAUUGAAACUAGAGAUUAGUUCAGGUAGCAGAUGAUGUCCUCGAUUAUGAUUCUCUUUCUUUGCACGAUUGACGUUGAGGAAAGAAUUUUCUCCCUCAGCUACGGGUUCCUGAAAUUAUUUAGUAAAAUGUUAAAUAGAGUUGUGUUUUUGGCCAAGAAGUGUAUGUAAACUAAGAUAAAGAGAUAAUGAUAAAUGGAUAAAUUAGCGAAAAAAAUAGCUUGUGUUUGAUUGUGUGUUGACUGUUAACUCGGUCUAAAGUCUUCAAGGUUGAUGUACUAGCCAAUAGACUCGAGAAAGAAUCGACCAACCCUCUUUCGGCUAAAAUAACACUUGCAUAACCUUCUAUCGGCUCGGAAAAUUCUCCCAACCAAAUGUCAUUUUGUGUUGCGUUAUCACUUGAAUUUCGAGUGAUGAGAUGACGCAACGUAAUUGAAAUGGUUACGAACAAUAUCAUCAUUACGUCAUAAAAGUAGAAAAGUAGUCGUUGGGAUGAAUCAAUUUGAGAUCUUUUGUGUAAAAGUAUUUCAUUACUCUCAUUUUUUUUUGGGUAUAAUUACUCUCAUUUUAACGUCUUCUACUUAUAUAUAUGAUUAAAUUUUGAUACAUUAAUAUGAGAAGAGUACUUUAUUAAAAAUAAUUUUAUCUCUCUUUCAUUUAUACAUUGUUCUUCAUCCAUGUGAAUUAGUUAACUAAAUCGGUUAUUUAUGAGGGAGAGAGUAUUUUUCUUUUGAACUAUAAUAUUUAUUUUGUGUAAACCUUCUGAUUUUGGGAAAAUAAACCGCUUUUUUUUUUUUAAAUAAAACUCUAAACUCCAGUUUUCAGUACGUAGGUAAGUUUGAAAUCAUCAAUUGAUCAUUGACAUGCAAAAACUAUUAGCAUGAGGCUAAGCGUGGCAGAUAAAAUAACAAUGAAUUUGUUUAAAAAACAGUAAUAAAGUACUGAAGGUAAAAUACUUUAUCAUAAAAAAAUAUAAUAAUAAUAUAUGUUGAUUGAUCAUAUUUUGACAAAUAGAUCUAUUGAGCUAUUGUUAAUUACAUUCUUACGUGUAUACAAAUAAAAAUAUUCCCUGUACGAGGUUGUCUUUUUUGUUUUUGAUUUUGAUGGUACGAGGUCGUCUUUCUUUCUUUUGUUUAAACAUACUACUUUUCUCACAUAAGGUAACCAUGGUUCAAUGUAAUAAUAUCAAUAAUUGUACAAGAGUUAAUUUAACCGUGCGAUUAUUGCACAUUACGAUGCUCUCCAUUUUCAAUUGUCACUAUUUACUUGUUAACAAAAUUAAAAAUAGUAGAAGUAGGACUAUACUAGAUUCAAUAAUAUUUUAACUUUUAAAAAAUUAAAUUCAUUAGUUUUGACCGUUUCCUAAUACAAUAUAUUGAUAAAUCCUUAAUCAAUGUCUUAAAUACACUUUUUAGUAUUUUUCUUAAAUUAAAUAGUAGGUCAUAUCAGAUUUUUAAAAUGUCACAUUCAAACCUAAAUAAUAAACCUACGACACGCCACAUGCUAGACAUUGAUCUUAAAAAUUUUGGUAGAUUAGACUUAGAUUUUGCAAAAUUUAGUUCGGCCUAACCUAUUAUAUUUUGAAGAUUGCUCUAAUCCAUGUCCUAAUUAUUCAUCCCAUUAAUUCAGCUGUUCAAUAUUUUUCAACGGCAAUUACUGCUACGGGCAUUUUUAAGACCAGUUCAUUUACUUUUUAAAUUGUUUUAAUAGCAAUUUUCAUUAUUAUAUGUACCCCAUAUACGCUUCCCAUGACGUCCAACGCUGACAGCAGCAUGCAAGUGCACUUCACGUGAUCUUGUUCCUUAUUGCAUAGUUAGUUUUUUAUUUUCUAAUUUUACUAUACCGAACUCUAACAUUUUCACACUCAAAGUUCUUGCCCUGUCUCCCGUUUUUUUCUUUUCUUUUUUUAACAAAAACAACUUAUAUAUUUUCAUUCAUCAAAUCAAAUUGAAAGUAAUACAAGAUGGAAUUAAAUAAAAGAUAUGAUGCCGAAUAUACAUAGAUGUGAUAUAAGAUAGAAUAACGAGCAUAUAAUUAUAACACUUAAUAAUAUAUGAGUGACAUAAUUUGUUUGUGUUCAAGCUAAACUCAUCUUAAAGUUUUGAAACUGUUCUACUAAUAAUUUAACUGUGCGAUUGCGCAUUACGAUGCCCUCCAUUUUCAAUUGUGACUAUUUCCUUCAUCGCUCAUAUGAAUUAGCUGUUAAAAGGUAGGUCGUAUCAGACUUUCAAAAUGUCAUAUUUAAACCUAAAAAAUAAAUUUAUGAUAGACCGCAUGCUAGAUACAGGCCUUAAAUUUUUUAACAGAUUAUCCUUAAGUCUUGCAAAAUUUAGUUCGACCUGCCUAUUUCAAAAAUUGCUCAAAUCUAUUUCAUAAUUGUUCAUUCGCUUAAUUCAUUGGAAGUUAACUGUUGCUCGAUAUUUUUCAGCGGCAGUUCAGAUCGGUUUAUUCAUUUUUUAAGUUGAUGUAAAUAGAAAUAUGUACCCCAUAUUCGCUUCCCAUGACGUCCAAUGCUGAUAGAAGCAGCAUGCAAGUGCAAGUGUAUUAUAUUACCGUAUAGUCGCUUGAAAUGAAACCACACACUUCACGUGAUCUUAUUCUUUAUUGCAUUCGUUUUUUCUUCACUAAUUUUACUAUCCCAAAACUCUAACCUUUUCACACUCAAAGUUCUUGCCCUCUCUCCCUCUUUUUUGUUUGACCAAAAGCAACUUAUAUUUUUUCAUUCAUCAAAUCAAAUUGAAAGUAAUAUAAGAUAAAAUUAAAUAAAAGAUAUGAUAACAAGCAUACGAUUUUAACACCCUUAAUAAUAUAUGAGUGACAUAAUUUGUUUGUGUUCUUGCCAAAUUUAUCUUAAAGUUUGGAAAUUGUUCUACUUAUAUCUACAAUUGGACAAAAUACCGUCAAACUUCGAUUGAUUGCUAGAAUUAUCCAUGAUGUCUUCUGCCACUAACUUACAAUCUAGUUCAAUUUUCACGGUUGAUAAUCCUAAUUCUCGAACAUUCAUAGUGAUAUGUCCGGUGAAGAUGAGAUAAAUAUGGGGGUGGUUCUCUCCGGGAACUGCAUUUGUUCUCCGGAAAUUUUUCUUUAAGUUGUAAAUAGAUCAUUUAAGUUGUAUAUUUAUCGCACUCUUAUCCUUUUAAAGAUUUGUUUGAAACUUAAAAACUUAAAAAACUUCAUAUAGGUGUAUUAAAUUAACAAUUUAAAAGAUCUAUUUGAAUUUUUUAAAAAAAAAAAAACAAAAAAACUUAAAGGACAUAUUUAAACCUUAAAAAACUUAACUGAUCAACCUAAUAUUUUUGUCAAACUCAUAAAAAAGCGUUCAUGGCAUACGGUGUUUUCCUUCCAUAAAAAUAAAAAAUAAAAAAUAUCUGAAUGUAUUUUUGUUUUACAAAACUCACAUGGCAUGUUGUAGGAGAUUUGAGAUGUGUGUGGGGGUGGGUGUAAAAUUCCAUAAACCUGAUAAAUCAAAAUUGUUAAAAGUGAGAGUAAAUUGGAAUGGAAAAUUUAAAAAUUGUGGAAGUGGGGAACCACGUAAAAAUAAACUUUUCCAACUUAAACCAUAUGAUAAUUUCUUAAUCUGUCCUCUCAUGUUAUCAGCAGUACGCUUUUAAUAGUGUUUUAUAUUUGAAAUAUACUGCCAGAAAUACAUUUAUGAUAAUAUAAAUUGAUAGAUUUAAGCAAUAUAAGAAGAUUCAUAAAUUAUCAAAACAUGCGCAAUGCUAAAGCCCACAACAUGCAGAUGCACAAAGGAGGAUUCGAUUUGUAGUGCAAAGUUGUUGGGGCAAUGAAAAUCGGAUUUAAUUUGUAUGUAUAGAUAGUAUAAAACUUGUUUACACAUGUAUCAAAUCAAAUUACGCCAUUAAAAUAUUUAUGGAGAUAUUUAAACAAUUCACUUAUAAAAACGACACUUUAUUCUAAUUUGAUUGGAUGGAUAUAUAAAAAGAAAUUACACUACUUGUUCAGAAAAAAAAAAAGAAAUUACACUAUCGGUGCAUAGAAAUGACACUCAUGAAAAUUACCCUUCCUACCAAACAGUAUAUAAAGUCUCUAUAUUAUUGCCAACAACCAUAAAUUAUUGAGGAGGUAGAGGUUAGCCAUUUUAGCACGUUUGUGUUAUUGAGAUAACAAAAUUGAAAAAAGUCAAAAAUUGAGUUAUUUAAAAUGUAGUAGAUUUUGAAAGAAAGAAAAAAAGUUCCAAUGAACUCAAAUUUUUGAGUUUUUGAGAUAACCAAUUAAAAUUGUUCUUGGGACGUAAAACACGCUGAGUAUUAGGGGUGUUCAAAUCCAUACCAAUCCAAAAUAAAACCGCAAACUGAUCCAAAAAAACCGAAAACCGCAAAAAACCAAAUAUUUUUGGAUGUGUUUGGAUGUUGUUUUGGAAAAACCGCUAUGAUCGGAUCGGAUUUCGGAUUGCGUUUUCAAAACCAAACCGAACCGCAAAAGUAAAUUUUUAUACUUAUUUAUUAUUUUAUUAGUAUUAUAUAUUGCACUAAUAUAUUGCUUAUUGAUAUUUAAUCUUAUAUAUUGCAUUAAUUUAAUCUAUAUUAUUACUACUUCAUCUAUUUCAAAUAUAAUCAAUCAUUUUUAUUGUGUAAUGUUAACUUUUUAAAUAAAUUUGUGUCAUAUUUUGUAUCAAACCUAUUAUUUUAUUGUGUAUGAGUAAUAUUAAUAUUUAAAAAAAAAAUUACAUGUUACACUUUGGAUAUCCAAAAACCGAUCCAAAUUAAACCGCAUAUAUUUGGAUCGGAUCGGUUCGGAUUUUUUUAACAUAAUCAUCCAAACCGAACCGAACCGCACGUGAUUUUUAUUUUGGAUCGGUUGAUUUUUAACCUCAAAACCGAUCCAAACCGGACCGCGAACACCCCUACUGAGUAUGUAAGCUUAAUAUUGUUUUUCUUUUACAAAAAGUAAAUUUAAGGGGGUGUUUCUAUCAAGUAUAAUAUUUACAUUUAUGGGAAUACAUAGGUACGGAAUGAGUAUAUCCAUAUUUUUUAUAAGAUUGAGAAAUCAUUAUUCUUAGGUAUCUAAGGUUCUUAGGAAUGAAAUAACUUUUCUUAACUUUAAACAAUCUUACGAAAUUAUUCCCAAGGUAAAGGAUGGAAAAGUAGGUUCCCAUCAAAUUUUGUACACUUUUUUUCUAAAAGAAUAUAACUUGCAAUUCCCCUAGGAGUGUUCAAGAGUGUGCCAAACAUUUUUUUUUUUUUUUAAAUACCCAUGAAUAGAACUCCCGUCAUGAUAUCUUUAACUGUGAUUCCCUUUCUUCAAGCGAUUAAUGGUGAGGAUGGAACUUUGUUUUUAGGUUUUUUUUGCUACUAGACUAGUUGGAAAUGCAUGUAAAAUAACAACGGCAGAAAAAUAAAAGUGAUAAAAUAGGGAAAAUAGUUUGUGAUUGAUUGAUUAUGUGUUAAAUACAUUGUAUAGAGUAUGUACUUAUAGGCAAAACUAUUUCUACUGGCCACAAGAUAUUACCUACAGUGUUUAACCUUGUUCGACUAUUUUCACGAGUAAGCAUCAGCUUUCCCACGCUCGACUGUCAGCUUCCCAAUUAAUGGCAUGACAUGUUGACAAGGUCCAUAAUGUUUAGUACCUCAUUGUCCAGAUCUGCUUGAGCUUUGACUCAAUAUGAUGUCUUCAAGACAAUCGACCUACCCUUGUUUGGCUAGAAUAACACUUGCAUAGAUUUCCAUCGCUUGUCUAUUGAUUUCAGCUAACAUGACAUAUAUAAUUACUUUUAGGUGUAAACAUAUGCUUCCUUGCGUUGCAUUUUCGAUUGGCUUCCAAGUGAUUGGGAUGAUGCAACAUAAUCGAACUGAUUGCGCGUGAACAAUGCGAUCUUUUAUGAAUGGAUAUGAACUAAUAACCCUGUCAAUCCAAUAACUCCAACGGUUACCGCAGUUUUCUCAAUUGGUAUGGUGAUAUCUUCGCCUAUUUGAAAGACGAUCUUUACGUAUAAAUAACUUUUUAUAGACCUGGAUUAUUCCCCAACUUUUCACCCUUUGUCGUUCUUUUUAUGUGGCUUCCUAUCCACUAAAUAAUUCAUGACUAUUACUUUUUCUACCCUGCUGCCUUCUCGCGCGCCCUGCAAAAUUUACUAAAAUACCCCUGGUCCGGAUUACAUAAUCCGGAGCAAAUUGUUAGUGAUAUCCGAAAAACGAAAUUCGGACCAGAUGUUAUGCGUUUUUUUGUGUCUUUCUUUGAUGUCAAGGGUUUCUGUUGACCGUUAUAUGAACCCCACACAAGUUGCAAUGUUAUUCCAGGGUUCAUACGAACAGUCAAUAAUGACCAUGACACCACUAACACCCCAAAAAAACUAAAAACAUUUGAAGAAAAUGGAAGAAAAGAGGUGAAAUGAAGAAUGAAGGUAUUUGUUGAAGAUGGAAGCAUGUUUAUAGCCUAAAACAAGUCCUAGGUCAUUAGUACAGUAAAUGAAAACGUGUUAGUGGUUGUAACCGUCCAAACCCACAUUAAUGGCUCUCUUUCAAAAGAAUCCAAUGCUGAAGCUUUCAAGAUUUUACAUUCCGGAAUAACCUUAGCCCUACAGAAAGUGCCAACUUUUCCCUUGUUCACCAUUAUCGCAUUAAUCCGGAAAAUAUAUUCCGGAAAACAAAGGUGCAUUUCAGAUUUUAUUUUCUGGAAUGCAACAAUGUCAUGGCCAGUGGUCUGCACCACACAUUUUUGUCGAUGGUCAGGUAAUAAAAAACGUGUUUUAUCACGUUUUUUGACUGCAUUUAUGGUCUCCCAACCGUUUUUGCCCCUCCCUAUAAAUAACCUUCCAAACCCCACAAUUUCUCACACCAUCCUCUCUCACCCUCUCCUCCUCUUCUUCCUUCUAAAACCAUCGUUUUUCAUCGUUGGCCUUUCAUAGAUAAGGGUCUCGUUGAAAACUUUCAAGGUUUGUAUGAACGGUCAAUGUGGAUGGAACAGUGCUGCAACGAAGUGCGGUUCAUCUGAGGGUCAUGUGGGUCAGUGUGGUUCUUAGCUUGGCCUAUCUGGGCGUAAGUUUCAGCACCCCCACCUCCCUCAGGGACAUUGUUUUCUUCUUCCUGCCUUCCUCUUCCCUCCUCCUCCUCCGGUUUUCCUCCAUUAGGGAACCUACUGCUAUGUCCUAUCGCAUAGUAGUGAUUAGGAUCUUAGGAGAUUAGAAUUAGGCUCUUAGGAUAUUAGAAAUAGAUUUAGGAUCUUAUAUAAUAAGCUUAAAAAGCUUGAAAAUUAUUGUAAUGUAUAGUUCAUAUAUUAAUAAAAUGAGUUAUUUUUAUGUUUGUGUCCUUUUAUUUCUGUUUUUUAUUUUAUUUUACGAAUUGUAAAGCUUAAAAUUGCAAAAGUUAUGGUAAAAUAUUAUUCCGGAUUUUCAAAUCCGAUUUAAAAAUACAUUCCGGAAAACGAAAUUCGGACCAAGGGUAAAAUUGAAAAAAAAAAAAAAAAAGGGUGUGCAAGGAAAGAUAUAGGGUGGAAUAGGUAAAACUCACAAUUCAUUUUGGUGCGUCCUUCAACCCUCAAACCCAAUAGUCAGAGAGCUUUGCCAAUGAUUAUUCUCUAGUUUUACACCCGAUAAUUUUCUUAAUCUUGUCAUUUUCAAGAUAAAAGACCACUAAUUCAGAAAACGAGAAUGAGAAGGGAAGUGGCAAACGAACUUUGACUCGUAAAGGCAAAUUAAAGCAUGACAAUGUCUAGAUAGGGGAAACUUAAAUUCCUAACAUUUCAUGGGAAGGUAAUAAUUGUCUCAAUCGAUUUCCAGAACUAACACUUCCUUCAUUUACUAAGUAAUUUCUUAUCCUUGUUUUUAAGAGUCUUUGUGCAAUUUUAUUUAAGGAUUUUUAGAAAAUUCUAAGGAGGUGCUGAUAGUUUAGUGAAGAGUCUAUGAUGUUUAGAGAAACCAUUUUAAGUCUUGUAUUUUCCUACCUAGACAACUCUAUAAAUGUCAUAAGUCUUUUUGUUAUAGACGCUAUGAGUUGAUUUUAUCACUAUGACUAGAAAAACUCAUUGGAUUAGUAUUGAAUGAUCAACUUCAAUGAUGUUGUUUGAACUAUAUGUAAUCGAUGAUGUCCUCUAUUAAUGCAAUCUGAAAUAUGCUUAUAAGGUAUACCUUGUGCUUAAUGAUUUUCAAUGCCUGAUAAACUCUGAAUUGAUUUUAAUUUAUAGUUCACAAUCAACACUUGUUUUUGUAACACGAACUAGGUAGUGUUCUUUAAUCAAUUUAUCUAGACAUAAGGUAUUAAUUAGUAUGGUCGGUAGUUUAACUGUCAAUGAAUCUUUUGAUAAAAUUAGUUUCACCUAAGAAAUUAGGGUUCUAUUUUAGAUAAAUGGGACGUCGAGGCAAGAAAUUGGUCGUGGUCUAUUUCUUUAAACUGUUGUGAACAUAGAAAUCAAAUUGUUAUUGUCUAGGAACUAGUAUUAUCAAAGAAAAUCUUUCUAUAAUUUAAUUUGCGAAACCAAAUCUUACGAAAACUCCCCCCAAUUUAACUUUUUAAUAAGUAUUGUUUAAUUGUCAAGUAUAAACAAUAAUAUUUGUGGAGAGGGAUCUUUAUAAACACUAUUACUUGAUCUGCCAAAGAGUCCAUCAAGCUUUUGGCGCCAUUGUUAGGGAAUCGUUGAUGAUCUCAACAAGGUAGCUACGCUCUACUUACAUGAUUUGUUUUUUUUUGUAAUUUAUUAUAAAAACAUAAAAAUAUUUACUUUUGGCUCUUUAAUCUUAGUGUGUGUUGUGCUAAAUAAAUAUUCUUGAGUGUUGUUAUGCGAGGUGGAAGCUCAGGUACCUUGUUAUUUGAUUCUGAGGUUGAGAAGAUUACAAGAGAAAACCAGAAAGAUUCUUUUUCUAUCUCAGUACCCCUCAAAUAAUCUAAAAAUACUAUCAGAGGGAGAACAUAGGCAUGGUUAGAGAUGGUUUAGCAAAGGAAACUCAAGUUUGAGUUUUCCCCCCAAAAUCCUAAAAUACUCUUUUUUUCCUUAUUCUUUUUUUUCUUCCAGAAUUAAUGAACGAUGGUGUGCAAGUCCUAUAUUUCACCACUUAUAUGUCACGCAGGUUCUAUUGUAACUUCUUUCAUUUAUUACUUUCGUUGUUCUUUUGCUUGAUCUAUUCUUUUUUCCAUGUCUAUUCUCUGUUCCGAUUUGUUUUGAUUUUGUGAUCGAUAUUAUCUCUACUGUUACUUCUUUCGGUUAUUGUAUCCCUUGGUGUUUGAUUAUGUUUCACAUUGAUAAACUUAAUAGUGUUUUUACUUUUUACUUGUUGAAGAGCUUACAUUUGUGUCUAUAGAGUUCUAUUGGAAGUAAAUUGUUUAUUUUUAUGUUUUCUUAUAUUUUUGUUUGUUUUUGUAUUCAACUUGGCUAUUGUAAUCACACCUCUGUUUCCGGUAGCUGAAUUAUUAUUGUCUAAAUUUGAUCAAAGGCAACCUAGCAAUUGAAUAAUCGAGCCUUGUCGGAAAGUGUCAUUGUCACCACUCAAUGGAUGAGAAACCAACAAAAAAGCCGGAUUAUUAGAAGAAUGAAUGUGAAAGAAUUGUUACCAAUCAUGGAAGUCAUGGGAGGUACAUAAAGUUCAACAAGAUCACAAAAGAAUAGCGUGAGAAGGAGAAAAAAGUUGUGCGAGAAAUCAGAGAGAAUUGAGGAAAAACUCAGUUGAUACCAUAUUUGAACCAUAUGAGACAAUUGAUUCCUGAAAUAAAAACAUUAAGGCUGCAUUUGAUACAAGAGGACUAGAAUGUUACAAGGUACAAACAGACACAAUAAUUCUUAUUGAUGUAAAGUAAAACAUUAACAAUAAAACAAACAUACAUAAUAACAUGAUCGUAAGUAGGAAGUGAGGGAAUGGAAUUCCUUCACAUCUGUUAUUCAAAGCAGCAACACAACAACCAUGAUCCACUUUAGAUGGAGAUACUAUUAGGAAUGCCUCGGCAAGUCAAUCCUUCCUCACUAGAAGGAUAAAGUAGAGUAUAUGGCAUCUUCACUGGUCCGUACCGAUUUCUCAAUGUCUCAUCAUUGUUCCUUUGAGUGAGUUUCUGUUCAAUUUCAGCCAACUUCUUUCCAAACCUCUUGAAGGCUUCUUUUGGUUGUGAAUCUGAAGUCCAAUUGUCACCUUCAAUUCUAUCUCCAAGGUAUUGCUCAUCAGAAGCAUGCCUUGACAAGACCUCUAUAAUGGUCAAGUCAGUAAGUGUAUCAUUCUUUGGUGUGAUUGUCCUCAAAUAAGACUUCUGGUAGUCCUUAGCAAGCUCAUCAUACUCAGGUGAUCCUUUCUCAGGCAUGAAUCUUCUACUCUUUGUUGGCCGGUUAAGGAUAUAUCCUCCAUAUGGAUAUUGUCCGAAAUUAACAGCUGCAUGAAGUGCUGAAGCAAUCCAUAUAAGGAUGGUGGAAGCUUCGAUCAACUCUUCACGGGUUUGCAUCUUAAACCACCAUGUGGCAUUCUUCAGGUCACCAUGACCAACCUCUACAAGUUCCUUCCAGAAUGCUUGGAGUUCAGCAUCUUGUGCAAUGGCAGCAUCAGACUUGUAAUAGAAAUUCACAUAUUCACCAACCCAUGACUUAAUGGCAGCCCAUAUUUCUAGUCCAUCAGAAGCAUAAGGAUAAUCCUCUAUCAGAAGGCGGAGACCGGUAGGAGAGGCUGGAUCCUCAACAGCUACUCCUCUAAAUAACAAGCAAGGAAGAAAUAUUAACAUACAAAAAAUAUGUUCUAUGGAGUUAUUAUUAAUUAAAGUGAUUUUAAUGAUCAUUUUACAACUGUUUUAGAGGAGAUUUAAGCCCGUAUAACAGAAAUUAUUAGUUAGAGUUUGUUGAUAAAAAAUUGACAGACCAAAGAUGUAAGGUUACCUUUUGAUUAGAUCGUUAGGUAGUCCUUGCUCAAUGAAAUUCCAAUCCUUGUAAACAACAGCAGACAUUUCCAAAGCAUAAUUUCCCCACAAGAAGGUUGAUUCUAUAAUACCCUCUGCAUUGACCAAGACAUUUCGUGCAAGUGCAUUUAUGUUCAUUGUGUCACGGUAGUGAGGAAGUAAAAGUUUAUGAAUAGGGUGAACCACACUAAGAUGCCUGUUUGUUGCUAUGAUGAAUGGCUCAACAACAGCGUGGGUGUUCAACCUGUCACACAUGUCGAUAUUCAUGAAUUAAUCAUAGAUAGGUUAAUUAUGUUUGAUUGUGUAUACGUGAUUAAUGAGAUUCAUACCAAUGGCUGACAAGUUGAUGAUAGCAGGAGUCAUUUACAACAACAAAAGCCUUGGCAAGGAGCCAAAUUGAAGCUUCAACACCUUCACUUGCGGGCAAGUAAACAUUGCUAACAGGACCAAAACUAUCACCUUGAGGGUGUGGCCUGCUUAGUUCAAUGGCCAGUGGCUUCAAAGUUCCAUCAUCUUGCAAGAAAAGUAUGGUUCUGGUAGCAUAGGCCUUUGUCUCGGUUGCAUUUAUUUUCCUCAAAUAUGGAAAGAGUGGGUCGUGGUGAUCAAGUAUGUACAAUCUAUUGUCUUGGAUAGCCUGUAUGACAAAAUAAAAUUUAGCUACUGUGGUUUACUUGAAUAAAAAAAAUUCAAUCAUGGAGAAAAAUAUUAAUCAAACUAAGUCCAUGAGGUGUCAACCCAGUGGUUAAAGUCGACCUUAUAACCUCAAGGGAUAGAUUUCAAAUUUUCUCCCGGACGAAAUUCACGAACGCCACUUUGGAAAAAAAUAGAACUGAUCAAAUAUGUCAUUACCUGUUCUACGGUGACCCCACCCAUGUUUGGCUCCAAGUUUUCUUUGGUUAUGGUGCUGGUAUUAUCACCAAAUUUUUGGCUAUCUAGCUUGCUCUUUGGUGGAAACUCCUGUAUUAAAUUUAGCAAGCAAUAAUGUCACCAAUUACAAAAAUAACAUAAUGUUUACAAAAUAGUCUUAGUUUUAUUUUUUUAAUUUCUUAACAAAGUUAAACUAUUAGCUUUACCGAAAGUUUUUUGAUGAUGUGUGGGUUCACCCCAGCAAUCAUCUCCCUUGCAAAUUCCUCAUCAGUCUGCCAUGCAGAAUGGUCCACUGUUCAUAUUAAGAAAUUUUCAAAAGAUCCAUUAGAUUUCUUUAUAUGAUUUUGUAUAAAUAUAUUACUGCAAGGACUAGGUAUUAUGAUUAAUAUAUACCUUGAAUCACUUUUGGUGGUGGAAACUUAAGUGCUUGUUCACCAUCAGAUCGGAAAAGUUCCUUGAACAAUGGUAUUGGACUAAUCUGGCUUAGUACAUCAGUAGGAAGCUUAAUUCCACCCUCGUAGAGAGAGCGCACAUCUUGAAAGGUGUUAAACUCAGGGUUAUUGAGUUGUAAUGUAACUACAGAUCUCAGUUGAGGUAUGACAUUUUGAGAUGCUGAUUUGAGUAUGUAAACAAGAAAGUCUGAUGACUUUGUGUGUCCAAAAGAUUCAUCUCUUGGAAGGUAAACAGUGGGACUUCGAGUCUCACUCUUAGGAUCUGUUCAAAUAUAUAAUAACAAUAUAUGUUUUAGAAACAAUACCAAAAUCUUUAGAAUCAUAAGCAGGGUAAACAUUUGGAUCAACCAAAAAAACACAUGUUUAGUCCAAAAUCUGACAGAAGUGUUUGUGGCCUAACCUGUUUUAGUUUUUCUUCUGCCAGUUCUUCCCCUUCGAGGGUAAGGGAAAUCGCUUGAUCCCCCAAGAAUUUGACGCGCCAAUUGAGGUUUCGAGUCAGGCUCACCCAAAUCAUUGUAGACAUCGUAAUCAUAUAUUCUUUCCCAUUCCUUGCGCUCUCCAGUUCCAUCUCCUCUUAAAGUCUUCAAUUCUUCUUGUCUGUAGUACACUAAUGGAGCCGGUGUUUCACUUGGAAGGUAUGUCUACAUAAAUUUAAUCAUUCAAAAUAUCAAGUUUUAGGAAAUAGGCUUAAUAUUCAGCAAGCUAUAUAGUUAUUAUGAUAAAGUGGAUUUGUGAUUUGAGACAUCAGAAAGAGAUUGGGAGUUGCAAGUUCUCAACUCCCUCUACUCGCAUUUCUAAAAACUAAUUACUAAUAUUUGUCGUUAUAAUAGAAAUAACAAGCUACAUGUGUAAUAGAAUUUUUAUUCUUACCUUGUUGGCAAAGAAGAUGCGGUCGGUUUUGUACUUUUUAGAAUUGUAAAUCCAUGAGUUGCAGACAAAGUGGAUGGAUCCAUGGUUUGGAACAUCUUCAAGUGUCAAACUCACAAGGAAGAAUUCACCUUGCAUAAAAUUAUCGAUGUAAAAAGCUCCGGGAAUUCCCAUGUUACUGUCCCAUUCAAAAUGAAUACUGAAAGCAUUUUGUUUGUCUCCCAAUGUUGGUAUGGAGGUAAGAAGACCUUCCAGAAAUGUUUCCUUUCCCACUUUUCCUUUUCCAGCAGCUAUAUUAAAAAUGUCAAAUAUUAUUAGUUUCUCAAUUUCACUAAUCCAUGAUUUUCAAAGUUUAAUUUUAUUCUUUUACAGAUCCAUUUUUCUUUUUACAUGAUCAUCAUCCAUCUUGCCUGAGUUAUAUCGAAGGGAAAUAAUUUCAAUAUUUUAGUGGUAAUUGAUUGUACCUGAUCAUUUAUAACCAAUAUUCUACAUCAAAAUCUCCAUUGCACAUUUUUAAUUUAAUAAAAAAAACAAAAGGGAAAAUAAGGUAAAUCUUAAUGGAUUGAUGUAUCAAAAACUCUUCUUGAAUAAUAGGCUGGCUUGGUGGUGUGGUGGAAGAGUUAUGGAGUAAUUAAUGCAGUCUGAGUUCAAUUCUUACAUCUAGCAAAAACUAACAACCGACAUAAUACUCAUUCGAUAUUAUUUAUAAGAAAUAAUGAAUUUUUUGAUUUAUUGAAUAAUUAAUGUAUAUGAUAUAUAUUCUAGAUCGAAUACAUAAAUUAUUCAAUGAAUCUAAAAAAUUAAUUAUUUCUUAUAAAUAGGAUUGGAUGAAGUAAUAUUUAUUGCUUAAAAAAAUAAAACUCCUCAAUAUUUUGUUGUUAAAUCAGAGAUAUCCUCCACGUGCAAAUGUCUGUCACUUAUGUUAUGUCACACAAUGUUGGUAAAAGAGUCUAAGUAAAGAGAUCAUAGAAGUAUGAAAAGAAGCAAUUUUAAAUAGAAAAAGAUAGUAGAAUUUACAAUUUUAAAAAUCUAAUAAGACAGAAGUUCAAAUAUAAAGUAUAUAGAUGGGGAUGUCAAAUUUUAAAUAGCUUAUGGUACAAGAUUAAUUUAAAAAAUUUAAGUGAGCAUGUGCACCCAUCACGUAGAUCCAUACAUACCAAAUGACAAAGAUAAAGUCCAAAACAGUUGCCAAACGCCAAAUAUCACACUUAUUUGCAUUAUAUAUACUUCUUUUUUUACAAAACCAUUAGAUAUACUCCCUUUAAUAUACAUUGGAUAUAAGUUUUUAUAUAGUCAUUUUUUAUUCCAAUAGUACUAUUUUUUCCAUAUCAUUUUAUUACUUAAUCAAAUGUCCAAAUUAUUUUAAAUAGUUACUUAAAUAAUUUCAUAAUUUCUUUAUUUUAAUUAAGAAGAGACAACGAUGAAAUUUUUGUCUGUCAAGUAAGGAUAUAGUUUUGCAGUUAAUAAAAGAAUAUAAACACAAUUUUUUUCUUUUCAUAAAUUUCAUCAAAGAAGGUAAUCAAUCUUAUUCAGAAUCCGUCGAUCAGACACUAAAUGUGAUACCUCUCUCAAUCAAGAUUCUAAAAUCAUUCUCGUCCGUUAGAUCCAAUUACUUCCAUUGGUGUACACAUAAUUUAAAUAAGUUAUAUCAAUCAAUUAAUUAAAAUGCCUAUUUCUUGUAUGAAUUAAACAUAGUGAGAAAGGUCCUCGUGAACUAGCUCAAUUGAUAGAGACAUAUAAUAUAAUAUAUGCAGGGGUUGAAGUCCGAACCCUAAACAUCCGACUUCUCCAUAUUUAAAAUGUGUGAGCUCCCGUCACUGGGUUAAUUGACAAAAAGAAAAAUAGAGUGAGAAAGAGAAAUGAGUUAUUACCAUCAGCACUUGUAGCACUAAUCAACCUGAGAGCUAUAGAACGUCCCAAGAAGGAAGUGGCAGUAUCAAGUAUAUUGCCAGCAACAUCACCAACAAUACCAAAGGCACCACCAAUGAUACCAGUAGGGCUUUUAGCAGCAGUGAGGGCGUUGAUAUCCAAAGUAUUCUUUUGCAUCAACACCACAGUUCCCUUCAACUUUUGGCCUCUAUCAAAGAGACCUGUUACACCAGAAAACAUCUUUGAAUAUGCUUUAAAUGUAUUACACUAUAUAUGGUAAAUGAAAGAAAGGCUUGUGUCUUGUAACCAUAGGGGUGGUUAGUAUUUAUAGUAGUUGAUGAGAUUAGGAUCACAAUGUUAUAGUUCAAAUGAGGUGAUAUUUUUAUUCAACUACUCAUUUACAACAUGGUGGAAUGCAAUUGGUCACGUCUUAUGCUAAUUUUUUAUUAUGAGUGAUUAUCUCGUGGUAUAUAAAAUAAUAAUAUAUCCGAUUGCAAAAUUAUUUUGGUAGUUGUUAUAUGUGCCAGCCUUGGCAUUAUGUUCAAUAAUAAUGACUCUGUUUGCUCUAUUGUUAAUUAUUACUACUAUCUUACGUGUCUGCAUUGGUUUUCUCGAGUUUUCUCAUAUUUUUUAAAGUGGGAAAAUCUCUACCCUUAAAAUUCAUUUCUUUCUUAUUUUAAUUUCAAAAUCUCUCCUCUUUUUUUUUUUUUUUUUUUUUUCUUUUUCUUUUUCUUUCUCUCAUACUAUCAAAUCAAGAUUAGGAUUGGACUUGAGAUACAUUUGCUUAGUCACAAACAUAAAAAUGAGUCAUUUAACACACACAAUGUAAUAAAAAAAAUUGAUUUGGUGUUGUGGUCUAAUUUAACACUUACUAUAUAAGUAUUUCUCCAUCCAAAGAUGGAUCCAAAAAUCUAUUAGCAAUUUUAGUUCACGGCCUAAUUUAUUCUCUUGUUUGGGAGUCUUUUGUAACAAUUUUUGUUUUUUUAUUUUGGGUUGACGGCAAGACCUUUGUCUUUUGAUGUAACUAUACUCUUUUUCCUUGUUCUUUUGGCACUUUCUGUGCUGGAAUAGCAGAUAUUUUUCAAAUAUAAGCAAUCAACGUUUGUUCUAGGGCGCUCUAUAUAUGGAUAAUGUUAUCAGCCACGUUUUUGACAUUUGCAUCAAUUUUUUUCUUUAUAAAUGAUGAAUAAGACAUGUAUUACUAAUGAUGGUUGAUAUUCCAGCUAUCAUGGAAUCCAAGUCGCCAUAGUACAAUGUUUUUAAAAUCCCAGCUAUGUUGGCAACCCAAAACAUCGUGUGUCAAAUGCGCCACAUCUUAUAUAUUAUUAAUAAUAAAAAAUACAAAAACGAAAAAAGUUGAGUUAAACUCAACAAAGCUAAUUAAAAUGAUAGGUAUGCAUACCAAACCUAUCUAAAAAAACCACUGAUAAUAAAACUAGGACAUAUAUACCACCAUUGAAAAUCUCCAAUUAGUUUACAAAUAUCAACGAAAAAACUUCUCCUUUUCCUCUUGUGACAUAGAUGAUCUCCAGUAGGUUUCUGCGUUUUUCCUCUUCAGUUUCGUGUUUUGCUGCUUGCGUUGGGGGUGUGAAAAUUAAACACUGAUGACUUGUGAAAAAAAGAAGCAUAAAGGGCUGCUGGACUAAAGUCUGAUAAUUGUUGGUCCCUCUAUUAUUUUUGUUAUAUACACCCCUCUAUAAACGAUUAUUGUUAUAUACACCCUCGUAUAAAAAAAUUAGGUCCCUAAAGGCAUGGGCCCUAGGCUGCCGCACCCCAUCCUAUAUCUAUGGCUGGCCCUGAAUGUUAUCGUUGUAAUAGAAGUGGUUUAAUAUAUAAAAUGAAAGACAUAAGGUAAAUAGGGUAAUGUUGCAUUAAAAAUGGAUGUUGGUAAGGCAUGUGGCAUUGAUAGGUCAUUUGAAAGAAAUUUUGAUGAAGAUGAGGUUAUGUCAGUAGUGAAUGAACUAGAUAAUGAUGUGUAUUAAAAUGGUGGAUUAUUCCAUUAUUGUUAACAAUGAAAUCACAUGACCAAUCAUACUCGGACGAGGCCUUCAUCGGAGAGAUUCUUUGUCUCAUUGUUUAUUCUGUGUGCAGAAGGCCUAUGUGCUCUUAUUAAGUAUGUCGAGGCUAGUGGAGAGCUUCAUGGGGUCAAAAUUUGUCGAAACACUUUGAUUAUUACUCGAAUUUUAUUUGCAGAUGACUACUUUCUAUUUUUCAGGGAAGGUGAAGCGCCGAGACUCAAAAUAUGAAGCAAAUUUUGAGGUUGUACAGAGCAACGUCUGGAUAUUACAGCUUAAAUGCCCAACAAUCCCUUCAAAAUGCUUUUACAACAACCUUAGGGGGGUCAGGCGGUGUUAUGCACAAUGAAGUACAUCGGACUACCCUCUAUGAUUGGUAGAAGAAGGAAUGUUACGUUCAGCUUUCUCAAAGAUAUGACUGGAGCAACAAGUAUUUGUGAAAGGAAGAUAUAAUGAUAAAAACAUGUACUGCAAGCAAUACCAUCUUAUGGAAUUAGAAUUUUCUUACUUUCUACCAUGUUCUUUGAUGCCAACGAAAAGAUUAUUAACACGUACGUACUGGUGGGGUCAUGGUGGUUCCACAAUUAGAGGUAUUGACUGGUUAUCAAGGGACAUGCUUGUUGUCUACAAAUUUUUUGGAGGUUUGGGGUUUAAAUACUUGACGUCAUUCAACUAAGCAAUGUUAGGAAAACAAGAUCGGAAAUUCCACACACACUUGGACUGUUUGGUAUCAAGACUGUUCAAGGCGCUCUAUUUUCCUCAUGGAAGCUAUCUAGACCGAAAGUGAUGACAGAGCACUAUAUGACAUUUUGGGCUAUGUUUUUAGUACUUUUAUUUGCAUUUGAAGACAUAUAAGUUGAGAGAUAGAGGAGUUGUUAAUGGUUUGGGAAACAUAUUGUAUUGUUUUCAAUCGAGCCGUUGUUCUUGAUGCUUGACAGUUUAAGGAACCUCUAGGGUAUGUUUUUUAAACAUCGUUGUUCCUUGAUUGAGGAACCUCUAGAUAUUUCAUGAAGUGUAAUUCCUUUAGAUGACAAUUUAAGAGUCACACGGGAUGUUGCAGUCAAAAGAUGUGAUCAUGGCUUUCAUAAUUGAGUUAUGGAUAAAACGACAUCUGUAGGAAUAUUCUCUCUAUAGUAAACCACCGUUUAUGUAAUUUUUAGGUUUUAAUUAAUAGGUACUUUGCAUUAAUCCAACAAAGAGGGAAGAGGGAAGAGGGGAUUCAAGGAUUCCCUAAUCACCGUUAUACAUCUAAAUCACACAAACAUAAUCUUUCUUUGGAUAGGGAAAUUUAACCAUGCAAAUCUUUUUUUCAUCUCUUUUCUAUUUUCUUUCUAAUAAGUUUUGCUAAUUACCGAAAAACUUGCUACUUUAUUAAUUGUUAUGAUUUGGUGCACUUGCCAAUUUCGUCCUUCAGAAAGCUUGGACAUAAAUCAAAGCUUUAGUUGGAGAAGAAUAUUUACCGCUAAGAGAGUAGUACAAAAAGUUGCUCGGUGGAAGAUCAGAUCGGGUACAAAGUUUCAAUUUUUUAUGCUUUGUGGGUAAAAGAUGGGACAAGUAUUCUAGGAGAUGGUCAACCUCUCAAGGUAAUUCAACAGGCUAAAGUGCACAAUCUCGUUGAUCAAGAAUUUCCCGUAUAGAACAAUCAUAUUGUAAACCAGUGUUUUGAUCAACUUAUAAAUGAGCUCAUUCUGAGUACUCCUUUAAUUGAGUCUGUUAAAGAAAGAUAAAUUAAUUUUUAAAUCAAAGAAAAAUGAACAUUACUCGGUAAAAAUUGUGUACAAGAUUUAUACAUAAAAUAGUGCAGGCAACUCAUAUUUAUGUCAGUAAGGUCAUUGGCUGGAAUUUAGAAGUUAAAGGUGCAUCCCAAAGUGAAGGAUUUCAUUUGGCUGAUUUAUCAAGGUUGCUUACCGACGCGUGUAAGGCUGAAAGAUCGAAGUCUCCAUUGUCUGUCUAUUUGUAUGAUGUGCACCGGUAACUAUGGGGAUGCAAUGCAUAUAUUGUUUGAUUCUCCGUAAAUAGGAUAUGUAUAUAUUUUUCUCAAGUGCAUUAAUUUUAUCAUUCAUAGCUCCAGCCCAGUUUAUAUUUUUAAAUGUUUCUUCAAUAGAUGAUUUGAUUCUCACAUAAUCAACGGCAACAAUAAAACUUUGAUUGUGUGGAAAGUUGUUUAGUGGAGACAUAUUGAGAAAUAUGUAUGAUAUCUAUAUAUAGAGGGACAGAUCGAUAACAUUUGCAAUCAUCUACAACAGGCCAUGUUACCCAAGAACAAUCAUCAAUAAAAGAAACAAACCACCUUGCCCCAUAAAUAUUAGAAACAACAAGAAAUAUUAGAAACAGGGGCCGAUCGGCAGACAUCAAAAUGAAUAAGAUCAAAUGGUUCAACACUUUUACGAAGAUUCAACGAAAAAAGUGGUAUGUGUACGCUUAUAAAAUGGAUAUAUAUAUCACAUUUAAAAGACUAAAUCGAUUGCAUUAAAAAACAAAGAUGGAAACAUAAACUUCAUUAGUUGAAAAUGAGGAUGACAAAGACGUUUGUGCUGAAGCCAAAUUUGAGAGGCAGAAUAAGACUCUGACUAAGACUGAAGUGCAGAAGACAACACCUUCUGAUCAAUUCGUGCAUCAUACAAAUAAUAUAGCCCUCCUUGUUCCUAAGCAACUCCAAUCGUCUUUCCCAUUACAAGAUCCUCGAAAGCACAAUGUGAAUCAAAAAAUAUUACUGCACAAAUAUUAUCCUUUAUAAGCUUACGAACAUAGAUAAGGUUAUUCCAAAGACAAGGAACAUGAAGCAUAUCUUUCAACUUAAAAGGUUCAAGGUUAAUUUCUCCACAACCAUCUACACGAGUAUGAGAACCAUAUGCAGCCGCAAAAAAGAAUGUCAUAUGAAGAAAUUUACUUCAAAAAGGCCAAGAACCAAUGUCAUAUGAUCAAUAGCACUAUAGUCAAUAAUAUAAUCAACAUUUCAAGCAAAAACCACAUAUAACUAUUUUCAGUCACAUUGGCUGAUAACUACAAAAGAAUCUCCUCAAAAGAACAACAAAAAGAAGAGGCUUCAAAUAACAAAAAAUAGGCAACAAGGUAAAAACCGUAAGUCGCAACAACGUAAAAUCACCAAAUAAAAGUCAAACUGAAUCACAAAGGGUCCUCAAAGAUGCUGGUAGUCACAAACAAGCACAAAACAACCGCUAUCAAUCAGUUAGUGUCAAGAGUACCCACGUAAAAUAGUAUCUUGGUCUUGGAUCAAGAUUUUGACCCCUUAAACGAACCAAUUAUGUGAAGACUAUAAUUUCUAGGAAUAAAUGGUGUCGAAUGGUGGUUCACAAGGUGGCAUGUGCAUCGCACUUGAUGGAGCUUCACUUUAGAUUGGGCCUCUGCUCUCAACUUCUCAAGUUCUUCUUCAAAAAGUAUUUGAGAACAAAUUUUUAUAGCCCUUUCGUUUAAAAAAUCUUUUUAGUUUUGCCAUAUUAGUUGAUGUAUGAUUCUUUAACUGUAUUUACAUUGGAAAAACAAUUGGCAGUGGAAAUAAAAUCAUUAUGAUCUAUUAUUGCUUUUUCAAUGUUAUCAUUUUUUUGUCAUGCUAUAUUGCAUAUUUGCAUUGAGAGCUUUUUUGUCAUGAAAUAAAAUAUGAAGUUUGCAUUUUAUAUACAAAGUAAAUCACACAACAAAAUAGAAACAUAGUAACUUUUAUUGAUGAAAUACAUUAUAACAAUCAAACAUGAUAGUUUUUAUUGAUAAAACACAUUACAGAAUUAAAAACAAACGUACAUAAUAACAUAACAUGACGAUAUACAUAGGGGGCGAGGGAAUUGGAUUCCUCCUCCUCUUUUAUUAAUAGCGACAACGCAACAACCACGACGUUUUUUAGAUAGAGACACUGUUGGGAAUGCCUCUGCAAGUCAAUCCUUCCUCACUAGAAGGAUAAAGCAGAGUGUAAGGCAUCUUCACUGGUCCGUUACGAUUCCUCAGUGUCUCAUCAUUGUUCCUUUGAAUGAGUUUUUGCUCAAUUUCAGCCAACUUCUUUCCAAACCUCUUAAAGGACUCUUUUGGCUGUGAAUCAGAAGUCCAGAGAUCACCUUCAAUUCUCUCUCCAAGGUAUUGCUCAUCAGAAGCAUGCCUUGACAAGACUUCUAUAAUGGUCAAGUCAGUAAGAGUAUCAUUCUUGGGUGUUAUUGUCCUCAGAUAAGACUUCUGGUAGUCCUUAGCAAGCUCAUCAUACUCAGGGGAUCCCUGCUCAGGCAUGAAUCUUCUACUUUUAGUUGGUCGGUUAACGAUAUAUCCUCCAUACGGAUAUUGUCCAAAAUUAACUGCUGCAUGAA